ACAAGGUAGCCGUAGGGGAACCUGCGGCUGGAUCACCUCCUUUCUAAGGAAGCUGUGGAAUUGGAAGACGGCAUCUUCGGAUGCAUGACCUUUCCCGUGCUUUUUAGAACAUAGAUGGCACCAGUCAGGUGACCAUCGAACGCAAUACGUCGAGUAUGGCGAUUUGGUUGUCCUUCGAGCGCUAAGCGAGAAGGGCGGAUAGCCAGAUCCCGCUCAGAUAUGGCGAGACCCGCCGUCCACGUUUCUCUUUCUCACAAGGAUACGAACCACGCCGCAUCAUGUUGCGUGCUUAACGAAUGGGCCCGUAGCUCAGGUGGUUAGAGCGCACGCCUGAUAAGCGUGAGGUCGGCAGUUCGAGUCUGCCCGGGCCCACCAUUCGCUAACGCUCAUGGUGACCCCGGCCAGUCUCUCUAGUUUGUUUGUCCUCGCGAUCUUCGAUCGCUGCGGGCAAACGGGCCGGGCCCUUCGGAGCGAUCCGGAGCGCAUCGAAGAUGGGGCUGUAGCUCAGCUGGGAGAGCACCUGCUUUGCAAGCAGGGGGUCAGCGGUUCGAUCCCGCUCAGCUCCACCAUUUUUGGAACUGGGGCGCCGGACGACCGGCGACGGCCUUUGGCCUUGCGAAGCUUUGCUUCGUUUGAGUGCCAAAGCGUGGGUUGGAUAUCCUUGGAGAAAAAAUAGGUUUGCAUCGUCUCCAUCGUGAGACGGAUGCCUGUUCUGCUUACAUUGUGAAGAGAAGAUAUGUCUGGAAGCUUCCAGGUGUUGAUGGUGAUCGAAAGGUUGCCUGAGACGUCCGAGCCCAGUCCCGAAGAAGCCAUGGAUGGUCUAGCCGACCGGAAAUGGAAGAGGGUCUGGAGGUAGGAGGGAAGUCUUGUCCUUGAGGCAUGAUCGUUGUUGGGGUGUUCUUCGGAGCGCGCCUCUGAUGGUC
rnacentral:tRNA from 1 species